rnacentral:rRNA from 1 species
AAAUUGAAGAGUUUGAUCAUGGCUCAGAUUGAACGCUGGCGGCAGGCCUAACACAUGCAAGUCGAGCGGAAACGAGUUAUCUGAACCUUCGGGGAACGAUAUCGGCGUCGAGCGGCGGACGGGUGAGUAAUGCCUAGGAAAUUGCCCUGAUGUGGGGGAUAACCAUUGGAAACGAUGGCUAAUACCGCAUGAUGCCUACGGGCCAAAGAGGGGGACCUUCGG